AAGUAGAAGUGCCUGUUAUGCUGCCUGUAGAAGAAUAAAUCUUGGAGUCUUGCCAGCAUUAUGCAUUGGAGUGUGCACACAUGUAAGUAUAGAGAGAGGGCUUAAUAAUAUAUAGUCCACUCGAGAAAUGAAUAUCAUAUUUUCAGGCAUGCAUGUUUUAUGUACUGUAAAUUCACGAUUAUUCAAAACAUGCCUUUCCUCAUAGCACAGUGGGGGUAAGACAAUAAAGGAGUUAUAAAACCGCUGUCAGUGGCCGUGUCAGUUACCAGGAAUUGUCUAUACAACCAUCCUCUAAACAGCUGAGGUCAUACCAUAUGGUAAUCAGGUUACCAUGAAUCUAAGCCCGCAAAUAUCUGAAUUUUAUUAUAUAGAAAAUCAAAGUCAGAUGGUUUACUCUGGAGUAAGUAUAUACCCUGCAGGCCGGCAUUUUUCUCAUACGGGAGAGAUCGAGAAGUAGAACGUUGAAGAUUACAACAAACCGACAGAAACACAAUUUUAAACCAGUCCAUCCUUCUCGCGAAUCAGACGUCCAUGAUGUCAAAAACGCCGCUUGCUUAAGCUCCAUAAUCUUCUAAACUUUGCCGUCAAGUGCAUUAAAAACAUCAUGUCCUCAUCUAACAAAGUUAGAGGAAAUUGUUUGCGAAAUUGUACCAUUUUUUUGGGGGCUUUCCUGCUUGAACAGGUGCUUCAAAUAAAAAGAUUGGUAGGAAGUGUAAGAACUUUACCAGCCUGAUGAUGAAGCGUAAGACAUUUACUACAAAUUAGAAGAAAAUAUUGGCUGGAAGUGAGACAUUCACUAUUGAUUAGGCUUAAGCCUUAAUUCACUAUUGAUUAGAAUUAAGCCGAAACAAUUUUCCGCGUUGAUGUGUCAGAAAUAUUAUGAAUGCUGAUGCGAUCUAUACUUGUCUAAAAUUUCCUUUUUUCUUUAUAGUGCUUCCCUAUUUGAAUGUUAAUGGAGGAUGGAAUUUCAUUUCAUUGAUUUGAUUUCGGCUAUUUUGUUACCUCGAUCUCUUUCUAUGGUGAAUAUUGUUGCAUUUAAACAGUAAUAGAUACAGUAUAUACACUCAUUCAAUAAUGUGAUUCAUUGUACUUUGUUAGAUUUAAAUUAAUAAUGAAUAAAACAUUUUCAUAUAUAGUUUUAAAAUAUAAAUAUUCAACAUAUAUCGGCCAUUCAGAGAUUGGGCCCAAUUUGGAAACUGUCGGUGUAAUGCCGUUAUGUUUAAUUU